rnacentral:rRNA from 1 species
UACAGAGGGGGCAAGCGUUGUUCGGAAUUACUGGGCGUAAAGGGCGCGUAGGCGGGCCCGCUAAGUCGAACGUGAAAUCCCCGGGCUCAACCCGGGAACUGCGUUUCGAUACUGGUGGGCUCGAAUCCGGGAGAGGGAUGCGGAAUUCCAGGUGUAGCGGUGAAAUGCGUAGAUAUCUGGAGGAACACCGGUGGCGAAGGCGGCAUCCUGGACCGGUAUUGACGCUGAGGCGCGAAAGCCAGGG